UAUCAUCCUUACCUGCCCCCCGCCUGACACCCUUGACGCACCUUUCACGCCGUGCCCAGUGCUGCCGAGUCCCAGAGAGAGGGUCUACCGUGCCGCCCGUCAGGUGCCCUUCCCAACUCCAGCCCCCUCCCCCGCGCGACCCCUACUUGCGGCCCCCUCGCCACCACUGCCCCUGGGUUCUCAGAGUCAUCAAACGCUCCCCUUCUCCCCGCCCCCAGCCUGCAGAUUUCUCCCUUCCCUUCUCUUCCUCAGUUGCCCUGCGACUCUUCUCCCUGGCUUUCUCGAGCUAAUUUUUAAGAGGCCCGGAUCUGAAGAAGUCUGAGAGAAGACCAUGGGGAGAGAGGCCCAGCGGUCCCAUUUGGUCCAGCCAUUCCAGCUGAGCUGUCAGUUGUAGCCAUGGGAGCGAAUCCAGGGUUUGUCCAUCAUUGUCCCACUUGCAUGGAUAAAUUGAUUUCGGAAGACAUGAAGGCUUAGACAAGAAAAACAUGUGGAAAGUGGCUGGUCGCAGAAGAGAGCUGAGCAGCAGGGAGGUCACAUCCUUCAGAUCAGAGAGAGGAAGAUCUACUUUCUCCUGAUCAACAUCGAAUAUAUUGCUCUUGGAAUGGAUUUACAAUGAGAUCCUGCUGUGUAGCAUUGAGAACUAUGUCUAGUACUUACAUCGCAACACAACAAUGGGAGGAAAAUGUACGUAUACAUGUAUGUGUAGCUUGGUCCCCAUGACGUACAGUGGAAAAAAAUUAAAAAAAUAAAAUAAAAUAAAAACAUUGAAUAGUGGUGGGCAAUGCUUCCUCCUGGAAGGGAUCCUGCCCUUGGAAGGAUAGGAGGGAGGAGCUCCCCUUCUAUCUCACAGACAGUCUAGAGAGAGUGGCCCCACUGGAUGCCAAGGGAGAAAUCCUCAUCCCUUAAGCCAGGAGAGGAUUAGGAGCAGGUUCUACUAGGGAAGAGCUUUGAUCAGACUCUUCCUGUCCUGGAGGCUAUAGAAAAUAAACUUACCCAGCCAAUGUCAAAGCUGUUCUGGGUUGGGUCCCCAGCAGGGAUGAGGAUCAGUCACUGGCUGCCCAGAGGGUUGGGUUCUCUCUAGGAGAGCUGGGUUUAAGUGGUGGGUUCACGGGACCCUAUUCCCUGGUGGCUGUUAAUAUUGUGGUCCCAGGGCUGUUCCCUCCAUCUUCUUAGAUGAUUGAAGAGGUGUAACAUGGAACUCCUAAUUUUAAUCCCCAAAUCAACUGUUCUCUCAUAUUCCCCAUCUCGGAAUUGGUACCACUAUCUACCAAACGGUUUAAACCAGGGAGCUGGACAUGACCUCUGAAUCAGCCCUUCCCCUUCCACUUCAUAUCAAAUCCAUUAGCAAAUGUUAUCAUUUCUACUUCUUAAAUAUAUCUCUAAUAUGACCACUUCUCUCUCUCCACUGCCACCACAAUAAUCCAAAUCAUCAUUAUCUGCUGCCCAGACAGUGGGAGGAGCCACUUUGCUCAUUUCCCCACUUCCUCUUUCAGCAACCUCCCCCCACCCCAGGCCUAUAUAUCACCCACCAACCAGUAGACCCUCCCUGUGAUUCUUGGGCACCCUAGUUAUUUCCUUCAGAGUACUUGUCCCAAGUUAUACAUUUAUUUUGUCAUACAAUUUAUUGUCUGUCUCCCCCACUAGAUCACAACACUAGGGGCUGGGACUCUUGUCUGUUAAAUGUAUCAUUGUAUCCUUUCUGCCUAGCACAAUGCCUGGCACAGAGUAGAUUAAUAGUUUUUAAAUGAAUGAUAUUGGGUCAAAGAGUUUAGAUUUUAGUCAAUAAACAAUGAGGAGCUAUCAUCACACAUUUCAGGAAAAGGACUGGUAAGAUGUAAGGACAUGUUAGGGGGAAUAAGGGAGGCAGGUGGAUGGACAUUAAUAUGAAUCCUUCUUACUAAGGUCUUUCUAAUUGUUGAGGCCUUAGUGGCGUAAAAUUCAAGAGGAAGGGAUAGAACUCUAGAAAAUUUAAAGGAGAAUUCUUUUUUCCUCCAAUUUUAUUGGGAAAUAAUUGACACACAUCAGUGUACAAGUUUAAGAUGUAUAGCAUGAAGGUUUCAUUUAAAUAUAUUGUGAAAUAAUAACCACAAUAGGUUUGGCUAACACCCAUCAUCUCAUAAAGAUGCAAUAAAAAAAGAAGACGAAAGAAUAAAGGAAACAAAUUUUCUCCUUGUGAUGGAACAAAGGAAGAAUUUCUGUCUUUCUGAAUAUGUUGGAAAGAAAAGAGAUACACAUUAAUGUAAGUCUCAUGAACCAGAAAAAUAACAUUACUUCGUCUCUUUAAAAAAGAGGACAGGGCGUGGUGCAGUGGUUAACAAAUCUGACUAGGAACCAUGAGGUUGUGGUUCGAUCCCUGGCC